rnacentral:rRNA from 1 species
GAUGAACGCUGGCGGCGUGCUUAACACAUGCAAGUCGAACGGUGAAGGCGGAGCUUGCUCUGCUGGAUCAGUGGCGAACGGGUGAGUAACACGUGAGCAAUCUGCCCCUGACUCUGGGAUAAGCGCUGGAAACGGCGUCUAAUACUGGAUACGAGCUGCGAAGGCAUCUUCAGCAGCUGGAAAGAACUUCGGUCAGGGAUGAGCUCGCGGCCUAUCAGCUUGUUGGUGAGGUAACGGCUCACCAAGGCGUCGACGGGUAGCCGGCCUGAGAGGGUGACCGGCCACAAGGGGACUGAGACACGGCCCAGACUCCUACGGGAGGCAGCAGGGGGGAGUAUUGCACAAUGGGCGAAAGCCUGAUGCAGCAACGCCGCGUGAGGGACGACGGCCUUCGGGUUGUAAACCUCUUUUAGCAGGGAAGAAGCGAAAGUGACGGUACCUGCAGAAAAAGCGCCGGCUAACUACGUG